rnacentral:rRNA from 1 species
UACAGAGGGUGCAAGCGUUGUUCGGAAUUAUUGGGCGUAAAGCGCGUGUAGGCGGCAUUGCAAGUCGGGUGUGAAAGCCCUCAGCUUAACUGAGGAAGUGCGCCCGAAACUGCAGUGCUCGAGUACCGGAGAGGAUGGCGGAAUUCCCCAAGUAGAGGUGAAAUUCGUAGAUAUGGGGAGGAACACCGGUGGCGAAGGCGGCCAUCUGGACGGAUACUGACGCUGAGACGCGAAAGCGUGGGUAGCAAACAGG